rnacentral:rRNA from 1 species
UGUCUACGUCAUACCACCCUGAGCACACCUGAUCUCAUCUGACCUUGGAAGCUAAGCGAGUUUGGCAUGGUUAGUACUGGAUGGGAGACAUAAUUUCAAGGUAACAGUCUGUGAGUUAAAUAACAGAAAUAA